AUUGAACGCUGGCGGCAGGCCUAACACAUGCAAGUCGAGCGAGCGGCGGACGGGUGAGUAAUGUAUGGGGACUGCCCGAUAGAGGAGGAUAACUACUGGAACCGGUGGAUAAUCACAUAUACUAUUGGAUAACCCAUAUGGGAUUAGCUAGUAGGUGGGGUAAAGGCUCACCUAGGCGACGAUCUCUAGCUGGUCUGAGAGGAUGAUCAGCCACACUGGGACUGAGACACGGCCCAGACUCCGACGGAGGCAGCAGUGGGGAAUAUUGCACAAUGGGCGCAAGCCUGAUGCAGCCAUGCCGCGUGUAUGAAGAAGGCCUUAGGGUUGUAAAGUACUUUCAGCGGGGAGGCGUUACCCGCAGAAGAAGCACCGGCUAACUCCGUGCCAGCAGCCGCGGUAAUUC
rnacentral:rRNA from 1 species